rnacentral:lncRNA from 1 species
AAUAAUUGGGAUGUGUCUGGCUCUGAUACCAUGAUAAGAAUGGACAUUGGGCCUAACUCAACCCCAAAAGCUAGCUUAUGAGGUGAGGAUUGCCCAAGCCAUAUAAGGAGAUCAAGGACCUCAAAUCCCUCCGAUGUGGGACAACUCAACACCCCCACACGCCCAGACCAUUGGAGCGUGGACAACAUAAAUGGGGGCCCAACAUCGGUAACAAUAAUUGGGAUGUGUCUGGCUCUGAUACCAUGAUAAGAAUGGACAUUGGGCCUAACUCAACCCCAAAAGCUAGCUUAUGAGGUGAGGAUUGCCCAAAGUUAUAUAAGGAGACCAAGGACCUCGAAUCCCUCCGAUGUGCGACAACUCAACAGAUAUCACUACUGAUAACGCAAGAAACCAUGAUAAAUCUGAUUACUAGAAGGAUAAAGCUAUGCAUGGAAGGAGCAAUGCUACCC